rnacentral:rRNA from 1 species
GACGAACGCUGGCGGCGUGCUUAACACAUGCAAGUCGAACGGAAAGGCUCCAGCUUGCUGGAGUACUCGAGUGGCGAACGGGUGAGUAACACGUGGGUAAUCUGCCCUGCACUCUGGGAUAAGCCUGGGAAACUGGGUCUAAUACUGGAUAUGACCUUUCUCCUUAUGGGGUUUGGUGGAAAGUUUUUCGGUGUAGGAUGAGCCCGCGGCCUAUCAGCUUGUUGGUGGGGUGAUGGCCUACCAAGGCGACGACGGGUAGCCGACCUGAGAGGGUGAUCGGCCACAUUGGGACUGAGAUACGGCCCAGACUCCUACGGGAGGCAGCAGUGGGGAAUAUUGCACAAUGGGCGGAAGCCUGAUGCAGCGACGCCGCGUGAGGGAUGACGGCCUUCGGGUUGUAAACCUCUUUCAGCAGGGACGAAGCGUAAGUGACGGUACCUGCAGAAGAAGCACCGGCUAACUACGUG